UCAUUAUAGAUGAGAAAGCAAGGCCUC
rnacentral:piRNA from 1 species